ensembl:lncRNA
CCCGCGUACGCACCUCUCGAUUACAUCUUCGUCAACUGACUGUUGUGACGAGUGGCCAGUGGAAAAGAAAAUUUAAUUAGUCAUUGUAGAAACUGUGUUCCAAUCUCCACAAAGAAGCGAUUUUCCAGCGUCCUCAAGGAUUCUUAUAUAAGUGGUUUGUUGGAUCGCAGAGCAGGCAGAGACGCCAAAGAUCCUCACACUCAGUAAAGUGAUGAAUGAACUCAAAAAGAUCAACCACGGAAUGGACAAAAGCACAACUUAAAACUCACCCACCACCAUUAAUUAUUUGAAGCUCAAUACUGAUGAUCGGCUGAUUGAUUGGGAAAAGGAGGAAGUGCUUCCCACCUUGCCUGCCACCACUGGCUCUAGUCUCCAGCACUUUUCCUAUACCCCUCAUCCUCCUCCAGAGCCCCUGCCCUCCCUCCUCGAUCUGACUUUUACGGUGUGAGGAUCCACAUACAGUACAUGGGGGCGGGGCAUCCCUUGAAAAGUAUGCUGUGUUUUGAUUUAAUUUUCACUGCAUUCAGUUUCUGUUUUAUGUGUGUUAUGCCCAGUAUACACUGUAUGAUUUUGGGCUUUCCCAGACAAAAAAUGACCAAUGUGUCACUGUGAUUUAUUUGGUCGUGGCUCUUAAACAGUGGUCCUGCUUCGUCUUGCAACCAAUGAUAAUUUUCUGUCAGUGUCAUACAUUUAGGAUGAUCAUCUCACAGUGUGUUUGCUGCUAUGACAUCUACUGACUAGCCAAUAAAAAUGCAACAUUAAAUUGAUCAACACGACACAAAGCGCAAUUUAUCUUGCUCUAUCUGUUUACCACUAGAGGAUGCUGAUGAUGAUAUUUAUUUUUCUAUAUUAACUUUCUAAAGUCAUAGACUACAAUUCAAUAUGUGUCAUCAUCGUACAGUGUAUAUAUCCAAGUUUAUUAGAUCCAUGUCAUACAGUGUGAUUUGUUACGAUCUUAUAAAACUGCUGAAAUCGCACAGACUGUAAAAGGCAUUAGUUGUCUAACUAGUUCUCCUUUGUU